ACCCCCAACGUAAAAUUGCAAAGCCCCUGUGGCUACCUCAUUGCCGCUGCUUCAUAAGCGAUCCUCCAUAACGAUGUCCACUCCGUACGUCGCCGCCGCCAGGUCUCUCAUGCGCUCCUCUGCCUCCCGAUCAUUUCGGAACGCGAAGUUGGCUACUGGUGUCAGAGCAAGUCCGACGGGUUCGCCAUUUGGGAUCCCAAAGCGGAACUCACUAUCGAAUCGCAUGUUCAGGUCGCCUGUGGAGUUGAGCUGCUGCGUGGAAUCGAUGCUUCCGUAUCACACCGCCACUGCUUCUGCAUUGCUCACUUCCAUGCUCUCUGUAUCUCGCCGGUCUUACGGUUGGACCCCUGAAGUACAAGAGAAGACUAGAUGAAGAUCAAGCAUCAAAUGUGUCUCUUGGGUUGAGAACUACUCUACAGUGGUUUAGAUUGCAAUCAUGAUGUAUAAUGAAUGACGAAGGGUUCGUGCAAAGUUUUAUGUAGAUGCGCUCCUGAAAAGAUGGAUGAUUGUUGUCUGUGGGUGCGACCAUUGCGCGUACUUUUCCUGGAUUUCAGUGAACUUUGCUAGGUCUGCUUGGAGGAUUUUUUGUGUUCUCCUUAGUUGGAUGUGAAUUUUUUAAUACUUAAUUGUACAAGCAUUGAGAGCCGAAUAUAAUGCUUGAUAUUUGAAAUUGAUUGUUCCUAUCACUCCAUAGUUGAAACUUUUGGAAAUGACAAUGAUCAAUCCCCCUGUUCGAAAAAUGACCUAAUUUGGAGGAGUAGCCGAGAUCUCAUUGAUUGUCAAUGUACAAGCCGGUUUAAGAUACUGUGUUACUCACCAAUGUCUUUGUGGCAUAGCAGCAUGUCAUUUCUCCUGUUGGCAUUAGACUCUGGAUUUAAUCCCUCUUCUUAUCACUGACAGUUAAAAAGAAUAA